rnacentral:misc_RNA from 1 species
UACGUAGGUGGCAAGCGUUAUCCGGAUUUAUUGGGUUUAAAGGGUGCGUAGGCGGAACAAUAAGUCAGUGGUGAAAUCCCAUAGCUUAACUAUGGAACUGCCAUUGAUACUGUUGUUCUCGAGUAUAGUUGAAGUGGACGGAAUGUAACAUGUAGCGGUGAAAUGCUUAGAUAUGUUACAGAACACCAAUUGCGAAGGCAGUUCACUAAACUAUUACUGACGCUGAGGCACGAAAGCGUGGGGAGCGAACAGG